rnacentral:rRNA from 1 species
UAGGGAAUUUUGGGCAAUGGGCGAAAGCCUGACGCAGCGACGCCGCGUGGGGGAUGAAGGUCUUCGGAUUGUAAACCCCUUUCGGGAGGGAAGAUGGAAUGGGGUAACCCAUUCGGACGGUACCUCCGAAGGAAGCCCCGGCUAAUUCCGUGCCAGCAGCCGCGGUAAUACGGAAGGGCAAGCGUUGUUCGGAAUCAUUGGGCGUAAAGGGCGCGUAGGUUGUUUUGUGUGUCUGCCGUGAAAGCGUACAGCUCAACUGUAUUAGGUCGGUGGAAACUGCAAAACUUGAGGCUGGGAGGGGCUGGUGGAAUUCCCUGUGUAGCGGUGAAAUGCGUAGAGAUGGGGGAGAACACUCGUGGCGAAGGCGGCCAGCUGGACCAGUCCUGACACUGAGGCGCGACAGCGUGGGGAGCAAACAGGAUUAGAUACCCGUGUAGUCCCUGAGCGGGCUGGCAAGGCGCAU